ACAGGCUCUCUCUUUGCCUGCUGCCAUCCACGUAAAACAUGACUUGCUCCUCCUUGCCUUCUGCCAUGACUGUGAGGCCUCCCCAGCCACAUGGAACUAUCCCAGACUGGUAGAUCCACCAACAGCUUGCACCAUGUGCCUGGGAAAAGCCACAGACAUUCAACAUCAGCCCAUGAAAGUAGCCAGGAGGGAGGCUGUACCCUGCAAAGUCACAGGGGUGGAGCUACCAAGACCAUAGGAACUCACCUCUUGUAUCAGCAUGACCUAGAUGUGAGACAUGGAGUCAAAGGAGUUCAUUUUGGAGCUUUAAGAGUUGACUGCCUGCUGGAUUUCAGACUUGCAUGGGGUCUGUAGCCCCUUUGUUUUAGCUAAUUUCUUCCAUUUUUAAUGGCCGUAUUUACCCAAUGCCUGUACCCCCAUUGUAUCUAGGAAUUAACCAACUUACUUUUAAUUUUACAUGCUCCUAGGCAGAAGGCACUUGCCUUGUCUCAGAUGAGACUUGGGACUGUGGACUUUUCAGUUAAUGCUGAAAUGAAUUAAGACUUUGGGGGACUGCUGGGAAGGCGUGAUUGGCUUCAAAAUGUAAGGAUGUGAGAUUUGGGAGGGCUGGGGGUGGAAUGACAUGGUUUGACUGUGUUGCCACCCAAAUCUCAUCUUGAAUUCCUAUGUGUUAUUGGAGGGACCCAGUGGGAGGUAAUUGAAUCAUGAGGGUGGGUCUUUCCUGUGCUGUUCUCAUGAUAGUAAAUAAGUCUCACAAGAUUUGCUGGUUUUAAAAAUGUGAGUUUCCCUCUCCAAUGUCUCUCUUUGCUUGCUGCCAUCCAUGUAAGAUGUGACUUGCUCCUCCUUGCUUUCCACCAUGCUUGUGAGACCUCCCCAGCCAGGUGGAACUGUAAGUCCAUUAAAUCUCUCUUUUGUAACUUGCCCAGUCAUGGGCAUGUCUUUAUCAGUAGCAUGAAAAUGGACUAACACAAAGUUUAUAAAUAUUUUCUUGUUUGUUUUUCUUAUACAUUUCAUAGUUUUCAGUUUUUAAUUUUAUUGUUUUUAGGUUCAAGGUCAAUUUUGAAUUAAUUUUUGUGUGUGGUAUAAGGAAUGUAGACAAUUCAUUUAUUUGCAUAUGAAUAUUAAAUUGUUCCAUCAUUUGAUGAAAAGUCUGUUUUUGCCAUUGAAUUGUCUUAGCAAUUGUGUCAAAAAUGGUGACUAUAUAUGUGUGCGUCUACCUCUAGAAUCUGUGUUCUGUUUGAUUGUCUAUCUUUUUGCCAUUACCACACAGUGUUGUUACUGUGGUUAAUAGUAACUUUUGAAAUCAGGUUUAAGUCGUCAAACUCUGUUAUUCUUUUUCACAGCCAUUUUAGCUAUUCUACCUCCUUUGC
rnacentral:lncRNA from 1 species